AUUGAACGCUGGCGGCAUGCCUUACGCAUGCAAGUCGAACGGCAGAGGGGGCAACCCCUUGAGAGUGGCGAACGGGUGAGUAAUGCAUCGGAACGUGCCCAGUUGUGGGGGAUAACACUUCGAAAGAAGUGCUAAUACCGCAUACGACCUGAGGGUGAAAGCGGGGGACUCGCAAGAGCCUCGCGCAAUUGGAGCGGCCGAUGUCAGAUUAGGUAGUUGGUGGGGUAAAGGCGUACCAAGCCGACGAUCUGUAGCUGGGCUGAGAGGACGACCAGGCACACUGGGACUGAGACACGGCCCAGACUCCUACGGGAGGCAGCAGUGGGGAAUUUUGGACAAUGGACGCGAGUCUGAUCCAGCCAUGCCGCGUGCAGGAAGAAGGCCUUCGGGUUGUAAACUGCUUUUGUCAGGGAAGAAAUCCUUUGGGUUUAUACCUCGGGGGGAUGACAGUACCUGAAGAAUAAGCACCGGCUAACUACGUGCCAGCCGCCGCUGAAA
rnacentral:rRNA from 1 species